UAGGGAAUCUUCGGCAAUGGACGAAAGUCUGACCGAGCAACGCCGCGUGAGUGAAGAAGGUUUUCGGAUCGUAAAACUCUGUUGUUAGAGAAGAACAAGGACGUUAGUAACUGAACGUCCCCUGACGGUAUCUAACCAGAAAGCCACGGCUAACUACGUGCCAGCAGCCGCGGUAAUACGUAGGUGGCAAGCGUUGUCCGGAUUUAUUGGGCGUAAAGCGAGCGCAGGCGGUUUCUUAAGUCUGAUGUGAAAGCCCCCGGCUCAACCGGGGAGGGUCAUUGGAAACUGGGAGACUUGAGUGCAGAAGAGGAGAGUGGAAUUCCAUGUGUAGCGGUGAAAUGCGUAGAUAUAUGGAGGAACACCAGUGGCGAAGGCGGCUCUCUGGUCUGUAACUGACGCUGAGGCUCCAAAGCGUGGGGAGCAAACAGG
rnacentral:rRNA from 2 species